GCGCGAGUAGCUCAGUUGGUAGAGCAUCAGCUUCCCAAGCUGAGGGUCGCCGGUUCGAAC
rnacentral:tRNA from 1 species